UACAGGGGGGGCAAGCGUUGUUCGGAAUUACUGGGCGUAAAGGGCUUGUAGGUGGCCAACUAAGUCACACGUGAAAUCCCCAGGCUUAACCUGGGAACUGCGUGUGAUACUGGAUGGCUUGAAUCCGGGAGAGGGAUGCGGAAUUCCAGGUGUAGCGGUGAAAUGCGCAGAUAUCGGGAGGAACGCCGGUGGCGAAGGCGGUUCUCUGGGCCUGACCUGACGCUGAGGAGCGAAAGCGUGGGGAGCGAACAGG
rnacentral:rRNA from 1 species